rnacentral:rRNA from 1 species
UGGGGAAUUUUGGACAAUGGGCGAAAGCCUGAUCCAGCAAUGCCGCGUGUGUGAAGAAGGCCUUCGGGUUGUAAAGCACUUUUGUCCGGAAAGAAAUCCUUGGCUCUAAUACAGUCGGGGGAUGACGGUACCGGAAGAAUAAGCACCGGCUAACUACGUGCCAGCAGCCGCGGUAAUACGUAGGGUGCAAGCGUUAAUCGGAAUUACUGGGCGUAAAGCGUGCGCAGGCGGUUUGCUAAGACCGAUGUGAAAUCCCCGGGCUCAACCUGGGAACUGCAUUGGUGACUGGCAGGCUAGAGUAUGGCAGAGGGGGGUAGAAUUCCACGUGUAGCAGUGAAAUGCGUAGAGAUGUGGAGGAAUACCGAUGGCGAAGGCAGCCCCCUGGGCCAAUACUGACGCUCAUGCACGAAAGCGCGGGGGAGCAAACAGGAUUAGAUACCCUGGUAGUCCACGCCCUAAACGAUGUCAACUAGUUGUUGGGGAUUCAUUUCCUUAGUAACGUAGCUAACGCGUGAAGUUGACCGCCUGGGGAGUACGGUCGCAA